UACGGGGGGAGCAAGCGUUGUUCGGAUUUACUGGGCGUAAAGGGCGCGUAGGCGGUCAGCACAAGUCAAUUGUGAAAUCUCCGAGCUUAACUCGGAAAGGUCAACUGAAACUGUGCGACUAGAGUGCGGAAGGGGCGACUGGAAUUCUUGGUGUAGCGGUGAAAUGCGUAGAUAUCAAGAGGAACACCGGUGGCGAAGGCGGGUUGCUGGGCAGUCACUGACGCUGAAGAGCGAAAGCCUGGGGAGCGAACGGG
rnacentral:rRNA from 1 species